rnacentral:rRNA from 1 species
GCUUGCAGCCAGACUUGCCUGUAGUUGCUCAUCCGAGCUCCCGCUCGGUGCACUCUUCUACGGGCAGGCCAGCAUCAGUCCGGGCGGUCGGAUAAAGGCUUCGGGAAUGUAGCUCCCCUCGGGGAGUGUUAUAGCCCGGGGCGCCAUGCGACCAGCCUGGACUGAGGUCCGCGCAUCUGCUAGGAUGCUGGCGUAAUGGCUGUAAGCGG